UGGGGGAAGGACUCCUGGAGGAAGGAGACCGCCUGGUGGCUUAAUCCCUGGAGGAAGGACUCCUGGUGGAAGAACUCCUGGAGGAAGGACACCUGGUGGUAGUGGUGGAAGAACUCCUGGAGGGAGGACACCUGGUGGUAGGGGUGGAAGAACUCCUGGAGGGAGGACACCUGGUGGUAGGGGUGGAAGAACUCCUGGAGGGAGGACACCUGGUGGUAGGACUCCUGGAGGAAGGAGACCGCCUGGUGGCUUAAUGGGAGGCACGACCCCUGGUGGUAGGGGUGGAAGAACUCCUGGAGGGAGGACACCUGGUGGUAGGACUCCUGGAGGAAGGAGACCGCCUGGUGGCUUAAUGGGAGGCACGACCCCUGGUGGAAGGACCCCUGGUGGCAGGACUCCCGGUGGAAGAAUUCCUGGAGGAAGGACACCUGGUGGUAGGGGUGGAAGAACUCCUGGAGGAAGGACACCGGGUGGAAGAACUCCUGGAGGCAGAAUUCCCGGGGGGAGAAUUGGUGGCAAGAGACCUGGUGGUUUAACUAUAGGGGGUUUAACAAUGGGGGGUUUCACAACAGGAGGUUUGACAACGGGGGGUUUCACAACAGGGGGUUUGACAACGGGGGGUUUAACAACCGGGGGUUUGACAGUGGGAGGUUUGGGGGCAGGUUUGUGAUGGGGAGGGGGUUUCUCACAGCUACCGCAAUCGAGGACAGGGUUAGCAGUGGAGAAGAAGAACAUGGAAAGGAGAAGGAUAGCAGUGAGCUGAGUGGACUCCAUAGCUGGGU
rnacentral:lncRNA from 1 species